GGGAUUGUAGCUCAGUGGCAGAGCACUUGCCUAGCACAUAUGAGCCACUGAGUUCGAUCCUCAGCCCCA
rnacentral:tRNA from 2 species